rnacentral:rRNA from 1 species
GACGAACGCUGGCGGCGUGCUUAACACAUGCAAGUCGAACGAAAAGGCCCUGCUUUUGUGGGGUGCUCGAGUGGCGAACGGGUGAGUAUCACGUGAGUAACCUGCCCUUGUCUGUGGGAUAACUUCAGGAGACUGGGGCUAAUACCGGGUAGGAGCUCCUGAUGCAUGGUGGGGGUUGGAAAGUUUCGGCGGUUGGGGCUGGACUCGCGGGUUAUCAGCUUGUUGGUGUGGUAGUGGCUUACCAAGGCUUUGACGGGUAGCCGGCCUGAGAGGGUGACCGGCGACAGUGGGACUGAGAUACGGCCCAGACUCCUACGGGAGGCAGUAGUGGGGAAUAUUGCACAAUGGGCGGAAGCCUGAGGCAGCAACGCCGCGUGCGGGAUGACGGCCUUCGGGGGGUAAACAGCUUUCGCAGGUGAUGAAGCGUGAGUGACGGUAAUGGGUAAAGAAGCACCGGCUAACUACGUG